rnacentral:rRNA from 1 species
GAAACCCGCCUCCAUGAAGUUGGAUUCGCUAGUAAUCGCGCAUCAGCCAUGGCGCGGUGAAUACGUUCCCGGGCCUUGUACACACCGCCCGUCAAGCCAUGGGAGCCGGGGGUGCCUGAAGUUCGUGACCGCAAGGAGCGACCUAGGGCAAAACUGGUGACUGGGGCUAAGUCGUAACAAGGUAGC